rnacentral:rRNA from 1 species
GCCCGCUCAGAAACUCAAAGGAAGUUGACGGGGGCCCGCACAAGCGGUGGAGUAUGUGGUUUAAUUCGAUGCAACGCGAAGAACCUUACCUGGUCUUGACAUCCCGGAGACCCUUAGGAAACUAGGGGGUGCUUCCAUCUGGAAGAAUCUGGAGACAGGUGCUGCAUGGCUGUCGUCAGCUCGUGUCGUGAGAUGUUGGGUUAAGUCCCGCAACGAGCGCAACCCUUGCCUUUAGUUGCCAGCAGUUCGGCUGGGCACUCUAAAGGGACUGCCGGUGUUAAACCGGAGGAAGGUGGGGAUGACGUCAAGUCCUCAUGGCCUUUAUGACCAGGGCUACACACGUACUACAAUGGCCGAUACAAAGGGCAGCGACACUGCGAGGUGAAGCCAAUCCCGUAAAAUCGGUCUCAGUCCGGAUUGGAGUCUGCAACUCGACUCCAUGAAGUUGGAAUCGCUAGUAAUCGUGGAUCAGCAUGCCACGGUGAAUACGUUCCCGGGCCUU